rnacentral:rRNA from 2 species
UGGUGCCAGCAGCCGCGGUAAUUCCAGCUCCAAUAGCGUAUAUUAAAGUUGUUGCAGUUAAAAAGCUCGUAGUUGAAUUUCGGGGUUAGUAGGUUGGUCAUGCCUCUGGUAUGUACUGGUCUCACUGAUUCCUCCUUCCUGAUGAACCGUAAUGCCAUUAAUUUGGUGUUGCGGGGAAUUUGGACUGUUACUUUGAAAAAAUUAGAGUGUUUAAAGCAAGCUAACGCUUGAAUACAUUAGCAUGGAAUAAUGAAAUAGGACGUUCGAUCCUAUUUUGUUGGUUUCUAGGAUUGACGUAAUGAUUAAUAGGGAUAGUUGGGGGCAUUAGUAUUCAAUUGUCAGAGGUGAAAUUCUUGGAUUUAUUGAAGACUAACUACUGCGAAAGCAUUUGCCAAGGAUGUUUUCAUUAAUCAAGAACGAAAGUUAGGGGAUCGAAGACGAUCAGAUACCGUCGUAGUCUUAACCAUAAACUAUGCCGACUAGGGA